rnacentral:ncRNA from 1 species
UCUUCCCCAUUUAAACAUGAUUACCUCGGUGUAGAUGGACUUUUCAAUCCCUGCCGAGACACAUGGUAAUGAGUUGUCCCAAUUCGGGAUAUUGGAUUGACUGACAGCUUUUGCUUGAAAGUGAUUUUAAGCAAGAAGAUAGAAACUAUCAACAAUUCUGUGUGGUGUAUCAUCAUAGAGAAGUCAAAAGCAGAAUCCUUGUGGCUGACGAAUAAUAGACGCUUUCUGUGCAAGAAUAAUCCGUUGAUGUGUGCGGUGUGAGAGACCACAGACUAUAUGCGGAAAACUCAUUAAGUCAGUUUGCCUUGAAUCCAGGAAACCGGAGUAUAACACAAGAAAUUCGUUAAAGUAGCGGUAUGGCAAAUGUUUGGUUGGCAAAAAACAAAUCUGAACGAACCGUGAAAUUUGUGGGCAUCAAUCCCAUUCGUGCUUGACAGGGGUAAGAAGCCAAGGGUCGCACCCGGAAGCUCAGACUUAUCUCCACGGUGGCUGAAUAUGACUGUAUCUAUGGUGGAUAAAGGGAAACCUUAAUCAUGUUUACCUUGCAGU